GAAAUGUCUGUCGUUCUGUUCCUCUCUCUGUCUCUGCUCACAGACUUUGUGUCACCGCUGACAAUCCAGCAGUCACCUCUCAACCAGCUGAUCAGACCUGAACAAGGAGAAACCCGUCUUGGAUGUCAUCAUGGAGACAACGACUACCCCUACAUGCUCUGGUACCGGCACAAGCCAGCGACCGCAGGAGGAGACCUAAGGGCCAUGGAGCUGAUCGGACUGCUUCGUUAUGAAAGGCCGGACCUGGAGAAGAACUUUGAGGGGCGUUUUAACAUCACGGGUCACUCAAAGGGUCAUGCUCAGCUGGUCAUCUCUAAAGUAAACCCAGCAGACAGUGCAGAGUACUUCUGUGCAGCCAGUCAGCACAGUGCUGCGUCUCCUCUGGAUGCUUUACAAAAACACACGGCUCGCUGA